UAAAAUAGAAUGAAUUAAACUAAGAAAUAAAAGUUAAAACAUUAUCAUGCCCAAGUGACAUGCAAUUUUAUAUUAUCUGUUCGAAAAGGAGCAGGUAGAAGAUACAAUAUCUUAUAAUGUCCUGCCCUUUUCAUACUCAUCAACUUAUAAUCAGUUAAAUGUCGAAACACCAAAACAACGAAUUUCCACCUUACAUGAUAUUUAAAUCUCACAUCUUUAGAUGGACAAUUAUUUAAACACUUUUUAUAUCAUCAGUAACAUUUAUGGACUUUAAAACAUUCGUCUUAUAGAUCAUAUUUCCCAAUAAGCUCCUUUUUAAACAGUCUUUUAAGCUGGUUUGUAUUUGUACUUUUUUUAAACUCAUUCAAUCCAUUUCAUACAUCUACUCCACACACCAAUAAACAAAAACUCUUCUUGUUCUUAAUACAUUGUUUUUUAAAAUGUCCUUGUCACAAAACAUUUUUUGUAUAUUGGGUGGAAGUUGAUGAUUUCUUACCUUAAACAUGUACAGUUUUAAAUGUUACAAGGUCCCAGAAUUUCAGUAUAUUUGAUUUAAAAAAUAACAGGUUUGUGUU